UACGGAGGAUGCAAGCGUUAUCCGGAAUGAUUGGGCGUAAAGCGUCCGCAGGUGGCAAUGUAAGUCUGCUGUUAAAGAGUGAGGCUCAACCUCAUAAGAGCAGUGGAAACUACAUAGCUAGAGUGCGUUCGGGGCAGAGGGAAUUCCUGGUGUAGCGGUGAAAUGCGUAGAUAUCAGGAAGAACACCCGUGGCUAAGGCGGCUCUCUAGUACGGUACUGACGCUGAGACGCGAAAGCGUGGGGAGCGAACAGG
rnacentral:rRNA from 1 species